UUUUUUUUUUUUUUUUUUUUUUUUUUUUUUUUUUUUUUUUUUUUUUUUUACAUCAUUUUCCUUUUUACAUAA
rnacentral:ribozyme from 12 species